AAAUUGAAGAGUUUGAUCAUGGCUCAGAUUGAACGCUGGCGGCAGGCCUAACACAUGCAAGUCGAGCGGUAGCACAGAGAGCUUGCUCUCGGGUGACGAGCGGCGGACGGGUGAGUAAUGUCUGGGAAACUGCCUGAUGGAGGGGGAUAACUACUGGAAACGGUAGCUAAUACCGCAUAACGUCGCAAGACCAAAGUGGGGGACCUUCGGGCCUCAUGCCAUCAGAUGUGCCCAGAUGGGAUUAGCUAGUAGGUGGGGUAACGGCUCACCUAGGC
rnacentral:rRNA from 1 species